rnacentral:rRNA from 1 species
AAAUCAAAUAUGAGGCGGGCUGGACCUCUCGGGGUUACAGCCUUGCUGAAUUAUUCACCCUUGUCUUUUGCGUACUUCUUGUUUCCUUGGUGGGUUCGCCCACCACUAGGACAAACAUAAACCCCCUUUUGUAAUUGCAAUCGCGUCAGUAACAAAUUAAUAAUUACAACUUUCAACAACGGAUCUCUUGGUUCUGGCAUCGAUGAAGAACGCAGCGAAAUGCGAUAAGUAGUGUGAAUUGCAGAAUUCAGUGAAUCAUCGAAUCUUUGAACGCACAUUGCGCCCUUUGGUAUUCCAAAGGGCAUGCCUGUUCGAGCGUCAUUUGUACCCUCAAGCUUUGCUUGGUGUUGGGCGUCUUGUCUCUAGCUUUGCUGGAGACUCGCCUUAAAGUAAUUGGCAGCCGGCCUACUGGUUUCGGAGCGCAGCACAAGUCGCACUCUCUAUCAGCAAAGGUCUAGCAUCCAUUAAGCCUUUUUUUCAACUUUUGACCUCGGGGGAUCAGGUAGGGAUACCCGCUGAACUUAAGCAUAUCAAUAAGCGGAGGAAA